rnacentral:rRNA from 1 species
GAGCGGCAGCAUGAUGUGUAGCAAUACACAUUGAUGGCGAGCGGCGGACGGGUGAGUAAUGCAUAGGGAUCUGCCCAGUAGCGGGGGACAACCCGGAGAAAUCCGGGCUAAUACCGCAUACGCCCUACGGGGGAAAGGGGAGGACCGAAAGGCUUCCCACUAUUGGAGGAACCUAUGCCCGAUUAGCUAGUUGGUGAGGUAACGGCUCACCAAGGCGACGAUCGGUAGCUGGUCUGAGAGGACGAUCAGCCACACCGGAACUGAGACACGGUCCGGACUCCUACGGGAGGCAGCAGUGGGGAAUAUUGGACAAUGGGGGAAACCCUGAUCCAGCAAUGCCGCGUGGGUGAAGAAGGCCUGCGGGUUGUAAAGCCCUUUCGGUGAGGACAAAACGCGACGUGCUAAUACCACGUUGUUUUGAUUUAACUCACUAAAGAAGCACCGGCUAACUCUGUG